GGGGCUGUAACGGCUUCGACGUCUUGACGAAAGUCGCAUUUUGAUGCAGGUCGAGAGUGAGUCCACUCUCGUAAAUCAAGGCUCAACUAAAUACAGAUGCAAACAACAUCGUACCUUUUGCUCGUAAGCAAGCAGCUGUUGCUGUAGCUUAAAAAACCUCUCAUUGGUUCGAGCGUCCAAGGUCUGACUCCGUUAAGGAUUUUGGACAAAACCCCAACGGAUGCAGCAAAUAGCCUCCUCUGACGGACUGUUUGCCUAAGCCUUAGUCAGAGAAUCCCAUCGCUCGGGACAAGUAGCGAUCCCUGCCUAGAGGGUCAGAUAGGCUAAACCUGUGAAUGAGUGAUGCGUUAUUACUCAGGGCGGACACGGGUUCGACUCCCGUCAGCUCCAUUG
rnacentral:tmRNA from 1 species